rnacentral:misc_RNA from 1 species
GAUGAAGAACGUAGCAAAAUGCGAUAAGUAAUGUGAAUUGCAGAAUUCAGUGAAUCAUCGAAUCUUUGAACGCACAUUGCGCCCCUUGGUAUCCCGAGGGGCAUGCCUGUUCGAGCGUCAUUUCACCACUCAAGCCUGGCUUGGUGUUGGGCGACGUCCUCUUUGGGGACGCGCCUCGAAACGCUCGGCGGCGUGGCACCGGCUUUAAGCGUAGCAGAAUCUUUCGCUUUGGAAGUCGGGGCCCCGUCUGCCGGAAGACCUGCUCGCAAGGUUGACCUCGGAUCAGGCAGGGAUACCCGCUGAACUUAAGCAUAUCAAUAAGCGGAGGA